AGGAAGGAAGGAAGAAAGAAAGAAAGAAAGAAAGAAAGAAAGAAAGAAAGAAAGAAAGAAAGAAAGAAAGAAAGAAAGAAAAAGGAUGGAAGGAAGGAAGGAAGGAAAGAAGGAAGGAAAGAAGGAAGGAAGGAAGGAAGGAAGGAAGGAAGGAAGGAAGGAAGGAAGGAAGGAAGGAAGGAAGGAGGGAAGGGAAGGAGAGAAGGAAAGAAAAAAUGAAAAAAAAAAGAUUUGCCAGAAAUAAUGUGCAAUAAGGUACUACUGUUGUACUCUACACAACAAAAAAUACUUGAAGAUACAUUUUAGACCAACAUAGUCUUGAGUCUUUAAACUGUAAUUUAGAAGUAGGCAUGAGAAAUCUUCCCUUCCUAAGCCAUUGAAUAUUUAUUACUGCUUUGCAAAUAGUUAAAGGAAUAUAUUAACAGUAAAGCUUAGCUCAAGAAAGAUACAAAAUGGUAGAGCUAGAAAGAAAAAUCAAUGUAUUUCUGUGAAUGUGACACAUCAGAAAAUGUUUAUGCUUUCCUAAACCACACAUGCUAAUUUUCAGAUUUAUUUCAAUCAUGUUUUUAAAAAUAUAACUGAUAUUGGGAAAUGGUUAUACACAGUUUUUGAUAUCAUCAGUGAGGUUAUUUCCUUCAGCCAUAUAGAUGGUAGCCUUUUCAUACCUUCUUAUCCUGUGUUAUUCUUAUCCAUUCUUAAAAAAAAAAUCCAUAGAGGCUAUACCCAACUCUCUAGAGACCUUUAUUGUAUUUUUUCUUUUGUUUUUAAUAUCUUAUGAACAACAGCUAACUCCUAAUGUAUCCAUCUAUUGUCUCUCAUUUUUGUUCUCCAGGUGACUCACCGUUUUCCCCAGGGUAAUCUUAUAUGCCAUUUAUUUAAUACAAAUCAUCAUUAGGAACAUUCUGUAACCUGCUUUUGCAUGACAUAUUUUUCAGUUGUCUUUUGCUUUAUUGGUACUUUUCAUUUUCUAUGACAUGUCAUGUAUUCCUUGGUGAUUAUUAUUAAGAGAAUAUUGAUAUUGGUGUUUAAGAAAUAAGCUUUUGCAAGUGGCAAGCAGUUUGGGAUCAAUUCGAGAAUGUCAAUUUCUCAAAGACAAACCAGCUUAAUCUCUUUUUUAUAUAUACAUUAAUGUCAAUCUUAAAAAAUAGAAGUUUAUCAUCACCACCCAUAAAUAAUCAGAAAAUCUUAUGCACAUAAACCUCAAAAAAACACAACACAACUAUUCCAUAUACACUUUCCCUUCUCCCCUUUCACUCCUCCAAAAAAAAAAAAAAUCCUGGCUUUUUUUUUAAUCAAUUACUGAAUUCUCAUUUAAAUGGGACUUUUUUUUUAACCUGGCAGAAGUAGGCAUGGGUUGUCAGAACUUCACAUGCCUCUGCUAAUCUGUAGUCCCUUUUAUUACCCAAAAUUUUUGCUCGAUGGCCUACAUAAUUGAAUUUCUAAAACCAAGUGAAAUAAACUUCUAGGAAUCUGAAAAAAGGCAGGUCUCCAAAGCAGCUUUUGUACAAGGAAGGGUUAGUAUCUACUUUACUGCAGGGAAUUUGUUUUAUUGCAAUAUUUUCUUAAAGGAAUAAGGAAAUAUCAAAAAAUAAAAUGUAAAAAAAACAGUCAUUGAUUUACACAAAGAAAUUAUUUCACUCACACAUAUGUCUUAAUUGCUAUAACUCUAAGAUUUUGCUUUAUAACUCAUUUGUAAUUAGUUUUCCAUGAGGACAAUUAUAUUCAGGCAAGUGAGUAAAGAAGGCAAUAUUUAUUUUAUUUCUUCACUUGGACUGAUAUCAUCUGGGUCUGACCUAUUGAUAGUAUAGAAUAAAUGGAAUGUAGAGCAACUUUACCAUUUACAUAUAAAUUCCCACUUCAAUACUUAAUGUUCUCAUCAGAUUUUUGGAGGUCAUCUUAUGCUCCUAGUCAGCCUACUAUGGUAUGCAUUGACUUUCAACUGAUUUUCCUUGCAGGUAAAUGUUAGAAAAGCCAAACUCAGUUUCCGUAAACACAUUUUAUUUUAACAGCAUUAUAAAACCAUAGAGUCAAAUUUGAAAUAAUAUGAACACAUUGUUCUUCCACAAUUAGGCAAACUGUUAAAUAUGAAGAAGGAAAUUUCCAUUCAAUAUAUUAAUAAGUUUUUGCUUUGGAGAUUACCUCUGUUUUCAAAUACAAUCACCAUUAAAGGACAGUAUUGUAUAGUUAUAGGAGUUCUGGUCUUGGAGUGAGGAGAGAGUUGUUUAUAAAUCCAAUAUUUAAUAGUUGGUUGACCUAAGACAGUCUCACAUUAUUCAUCCUUAAACUGGGAGUAGUAGUGAAGCAAGUAACUACCUCAGAAUAGGCUUGAAUGACUUAAUUUUGAAAGUUCUGCAAAAAAAGUGCAUGACUCAAUCUUAUAUCAUAGCAUAAAAAGAUGAUAUUUUCCACCUAUGAAAUAACCAUUUCAGCAUUAGAAGGCAAAUAUAAAGUCAUUUGGGUGGCAUUUCUUAGUUAGCUUUAUCUGUUUGAUACUCUCCUAAAGUCAUCACUCAGAUUUCACUUUACCAGUGAUAGUACUAGUUUAAUUAAAAACAUUCUCCUGACCAAGUGUCUAAAUUUCAGGUGAGUUAGUAGAAAAUGUUCAGUCCUUUAAUGGAUUGAUUUGUCAGUAGUAUUAUAUGACUAAAUUCAGCAACAAUGAUUAUUAACUAAUAAUAACACUUCUCUACUUAUUUAAGCUAUUCAGCAGAAAGCUGAUUGAGUAGCAGACUAUCCCUGUUAUUCAUUAAUUACUUUCAAUAGAAUUUAAACCAAUAAAUUUUGGUUUAAUGAGAGUUUUGGCUUAAGGCCACUGAGAUUGAGGAGGAAUUUUUAAAAUUUGAUUUGAGCUUAAGGACAAUGGGUUUAUUUUGCACAGAUAUACAAUCAUGGUGGUUUGUUUUGUUUUGUUCUUUUGAGGUAUUUGGCAUUUUUAGUUCCUAUUUAUUAAAUUAAUCUCUUCAGUUUUUCCUUCUUGCAGUAUGUUGCUCCUGGAUUCUUUUGGACACAGGGGUUUUUGUUUUGUUUUGUUUUUGCUAAAGCCAUUAUUUUGUUAGUCUGGGAAGCUCCUAGUAUGGAAAUCUCCCUUCAAUAAUGCAGAUCAACAGUCCUGUAACUUAAAAGAUUUGGAGGGUCACCUAUGGGCUUUACCAUGUCACACAACUAUUAUAUGUCAGAGACAGGACUUGAAUCCAAGUUUUUACUAACCUCUAAUAACUAUGCUGCAUUGCCUUAGCACAGUGCCUAGCACAUAAGAGGUGCUUAAUAGAUAUGUAUUCACUUGCUUCUCUUGGACAUCAUAAUUACCUAGGACAAACUCUUCAUUGAUGAGAAGAAUUUGACCAUUUAGACUAAAAUUCAUAUUUAUAAACCCCAAAGAGAAUUCAUGUCACUUAAUCUUAACAUUUUGUUUUAUUAAUUAAUCUUUUAAAAAUUACUUUCAAAAUCAUUGAAAAAAGGAAGAAAAAAAUACUAGACAACAUAAUAAAACAUUCAAUGUCAAAUAUUAGAUUUUCAGGACACUUAGUUUUAAAAACAGUUGGGAACCAAAUUUUGUUGACAAUUCCCAAAAUGUGCUGUAUAAUUCAGUACUAACUUGGCUGAAUAUGCUUAUUUGAAUUACUGAAUCAUUCAGCUCUCUAAUAUAUAGCUAAGUAUUUCUCUAUUAAACUUAAUGGGUAAUUCUGGUAUUACCCAGAUUGGUAUUUGCAGUGUGUUGCAGAAAUCCAUAGUAGUUUCAAGGAAAAGUUAUAUAAUGCUUCUUUCUAUUUAAGAGAGGACAAAAGUGUAUCACACUCAUUUAAUUUUUCUCUGGCACUGGCUCUCCUGUUCCUUUCCAGUUCAAGAAAGGAAGCUGACCCAGAUCCCAUAAAAUUUUAAUAUUUUGCAUUUUGUUUCCACUAAACAGUAUACACUAGUCACAUUAACCAGAACAAGAGGAGAAAUUAUAAAAUUGUUAACAGUAUGUCUCUGGUUUGUUUAAUAGAAACAACAUUGUCUUUUUUUCCAAUAGAUGCCUUUUCCAUCAGUAUAGGGUAAAAUAAAUGAAUAUAUACAUCUUUAUUACAAUAUUAAUCUUAUCAUAAAACCUGAAUGAAAACAAUGUCCUAAGCCAUAUCAAGUAGAAGUUAUGUUAAUAUCAGAAGUGAGUGAAAAGCAGGCAAGUCAAAAUGUGACUGUGUAUAAUAUGCUUUAAUAUAUCUAGAUUAUCUUUGUAGUUCAGAGGUUCUUAACCUUUUAUCAUGUCAUAGAUCCCUUUGGCAGUAUGAUGAAAAACCUAAAAUUCCCUUCCUAGAGUAAUGUUUUUAAAUACAUGGAAUAAAAUAAAUUGCAUAGCAGUAAAAAGAAAACCAGAGGUCAAUGAAAAUAAAGAUUUAUUUUUUUCCCCAAUCAAUUAGUUUACAGACCCUCCAGGUUAAGUGUCCUUGCUUAAAAAAAGAAUAAUUACAUAAAAGGCUAAUUAGAACUUCAAGAUGUUAUUCAGUUGAGCAGUGUUUGUUAAGUUAUUAAUUUUAUCAGUUUGUCAAAACAAAGAAGUCCUGUUCCAAUGGGCAGCUAAGUGGCAUAAUGGAUAAGAGUGCCAAGCAAAAGUCAGGAAGACUCAUCUUUUUGAGUUCAAAUCUAGGCUCAGACAUUUGUUAGCUGUGUGACCUUGGUCCAAUCAUUUGAUCCUGCUUGUUUCAGCCUUUUCUUGUGUAAUGAGCUGGAGAAGGAAAUAACGAACUGCUGCAGUGUCUUUGCCACGAAAACUCCAAAUGGGGUCAUGAAGAUUCAGACACAGCUGAACAACUACUGUAAGACCUUCAAUAAAUGACACUCUCCUCUUUUAUCAAGAAGAAUGACAUUGUUCUUAUUGCUCUUACCACCCAAAAAACUGUAAAUAUAAAUUGUCCCAUUAAUUGCAGCCAAAUCAUCUAAUAUUUCUGGAUUACAGCCCCUUCUAGAAAAAAAAAAACCCAAAGCUCUCAUGGAAUUAAGCUAACAAGCCUUCAGUGUUUUUUGAAAUGUCAUCAGUAUUUCAACAAAAUCCAAUUUUCCCACUAGCAUGCAGCUUUUGUUUAAUCCAUUCAAGUUAAGAAAAGGGAAAAAAGAAGACCAACACAGUGGGAAAGUAUUUUACUACACCAGAUUUCCUUCCUCCACUUCCUCUUUUGGUUCAAUAUUAUGUGUGACUGGACAGCAAAAACAAAUGUUUAAUCUGAAAUGCAGAAAUAGUCUAUUAAAGGCCUAACUCAAGCAAGUUCAUUCUUAUUGAAGAGGUUAUAAUAGUAGUCUUAAACCAUUAAAACAAGCUCUUGAAUAAUACAAAAUUUUAAACAUUAUUUUCCCCCACGAAUAACAUUAAGUAAAAGCUGAUGAGCUCAAUUUGGAUCUCAUUUGAUGUAUGUGAUAUAUAAUGUAGUUCCUUCAAAAACUCAUAUUAGUUUUUAAAAAUCCAUAUGAAUUUCAUAUACUACAAAAUUCCUGAUGUUUCCAUUUUGAUUUCGGUAUGGAAACUAUGAGAUUCUUAUAUGCUGAUCUGAACCUGUGAUUUGAGUUGCUUAGGACAGUUAGAGAAUAUAGUCUCCCAGAUACUUAAAGUCUGAGGUAGAAUAUAAACACAGAUUUUCUUCACUUUAAGACCAGCUACUUUGAUAAGUUGUCUCCCACUUUUGAUCUAAUAGUUCAGAGAGCUUGAUUAAAUGAAAUUCUUAUUUUCUAAUAUUUGUGGAUAAUUUCCUGUGAUUGCAUGAUGACUUGAGGCAGCUAUAUUGAAUAAAUCAUGUACUAGAAUUAGUACAUAUUUUCUACAUGUUUCCAUUGUAAAGUCAUGCAGGUUUUCUAAUAUCACCACUUGGGUAUUAGCCUAUAGGUAAAUGAAGGUAUUUUUCUGUAAAUUCAAGAAGAUAAAGUCUCAUUUAUUUUGGAGAUUGUGUCAAACUUCUUAAUAAAAAAAAUUUGACACAUUUUUCUCUAGGCUUUGGUUGGUGGGAUCGAAAUAUCACCUUGGAUAUUUCUGUCAUUUUAUAAAAAUGUGAAUGUGGGUAUAACUGCAUAACUGUAUAUGCACAUAUCUACACACAUGCAUUUUAUGUUUUCUCCUUUUCUCUUCCAUAAUUCUACUUCUGAAAUCCUUUUGAGAAUUCCAUUUAUACUGAUUUCAAAUCAAAUCAAAAUAAUCAAAUAAUUGUCAUUCCUUUGUUGUUGCUGUUGUUUUUUAAAGGUGAGAGGGAGAAGUGCUAUGAAUUUUGAUGAUGGUAGAGCAUUCUUGAUAGAAACAUUUUAAUAGUAGCUUUAAAGUGUAUUACUGGUGUUUAAAUGCUAACCAGUAUAAUUUGUGUUUAAAUGCCUUGUCAGACAUCAGGGUAGCCUAUUUUAAUCCUUGAAGAGAAGUUUAUUUGUAACUCAUGGCUUUUUGUAGGCUUAUGGGAGGUUAAUGUAUAUUGGUUACAUGGAAAAAAUAGUUAUCUUUACUGAUAUCAGUUCAAACAAAAAAGGUUCCUGAUGAGUUAGUUGUGUAAAAACCUUAUGCCCAUUACCACAUCUCAUGUCUUGUUUUGUUCUAAAUGGCACAUAGUUAUUAACUUCUUCAAAUAGAAGCCAGUGUACUUUUUUAACAGCUUUGAGGGUUUUUUUGUAUGAUGAUUUUUUAAAUGAAAUGUGUACUCUUCAAACUAAUUAAAGCUUGAGGUUUUCCAGGAGUCACAUUUUAACAGUGUUUGUAUACAUUUUAACUCUUUGAUAUUUUCUAUUUUGGUUUUGUAUAUUUUUAAGUAUGCACAGUGUACAGAUUUUUUUCUUGUAAAUAAAACAUGUUUUCAUUUGUCUAGGA